CCUACGGGGGGCAGCAGUAGCGAAUAUUGCUCAAUGGGGGAAACCCUGAAGCAGCAACGCCGCGUGGAGGAUGAAGGUUUUCGGAUUGUAAACUACUUUUGUUAGAGAAGAUAAUGACGGUAUCUAACGAAUAAGCACCGGCUAACUCCGUGCCAGCAGCCGCGGUAAUACGGAGGGUGCAAGCGUUACUCGGAAUCACUGGGCGUAAAGAGCGCGUAGGCGGGAUAGCAAGUCAGAUGUGAAAUCCUAGGGCUUAACCAUAGAAAUGCAUUUGAAACUGUUAAUCUAGAGUAUGGGAGAGGGUGGUGGAAUUCUUGGUGUAGGGGUAAAAUCCGUAGAGAUCAAGAGGAAUACUCAUUGCGAAGGCGACCUGCUAGAACAUAACUGACGCUGAUGCGUGAAAGCGUGGGGAGCAAACAGGAUUAGAUACCCGAGUAGUC
rnacentral:rRNA from 1 species